ACUAUCUAUUCAUCAACCAAGGGAAUACGCAGUGAACUGAAACAUCUAAGUAGCUGCAGGAAGAGAAAGAAAAAUCGAUUUCCUUAGUAGCGGCGAGCGAAGAGGAAAGAGCCCAAACCAAGUGAUUUAUCAUUUGGGGUUGUAGGACUGCAACGUGGUAGCGUGAGUGAUAGCAGAAUUAUCUGGGAAGGUAAGCCAGAGAGGGUGAGAGCCCCGUAAGCGAAAUUGCAAGCGCGCCUAGCAGAAUCCUGAGUAGGUCGGGACACGAGAAAUCCCUUGGUUGAUGAAUAGAUAGU
rnacentral:misc_RNA from 1 species